rnacentral:lncRNA from 1 species
GAAAAAGAUGUUUGGAUAUACAUGUAGAAUGAUAAAAGAAGAACAGUUUUUUCAGAUAUUACAGAAUCUCUGCCAGGCUUUGAAGUGCCCUGAAAAGUGAUCAGGAUGAUAUGCUGCAGCAUUAUCAUGCAUUCAUAUUAGUCAUAUUAAAAAAAAACUGUCACCAAGCCCUUAGUUAAAAUUGGUUAUCAAAGUAUUCUUUGGCAGCACUUACAUUUUUUGAAACAUAAAAAAUUGAAUUUUUAAAAAGAAAUAUGACUUUGGUGGUAUUUCUUUAAGAUAAUUGGAUGGCAGUGUUGCAAACAAGUGUUAUUAUGGACACAUUUUUUCUAAUUGGACUCCCAGGAGCCAGGCUGCUUUUCACAUUCAAACAAGAAUUUAAAAAGAAAAAAAAUGUCAGAAUAGUAAAAGAGGUAUUUUGAAUAUAUUUACAGUCUACAUCCAUUUAUAUCCAGUAUAUAAUGCCUGGUGUUCACAAAUACAGGUAGAGCCCUUUUAGGAAGCAAGUUACAUACAGUGUAUUCCCAUAUUUUAAUAUCAGAUAUCAAAUACAAGCAUAUGAAACUGUUUUGAAUAAAGACAUAAAUUGUCCUUGGUGAUCAGCAUAUUUUUCUCUUAUUUUAAGUCUUAAAAGGAUAGCUAAUGUAUUUUGAGCUAAUUCAUUUGAAGAUGGAACAUGUAUGAAAAUUUCUUCAGCAAAAAAAAAAAA